UGGGGAAUUUUGGACAAUGGGCGAAAAGCCUGAUCCAGCAAUGCCGCGUGUGUGAAGAAGGCCUUCGGGUUGUAAAGCACUUUUGUCCGGAAAGAAAAUCCUUGGCUCUAAUACAGUCGGGGGAUGACGGUACCGGAAGAAUAAGCACCGGCUAACUACGUGCCAGCAGCCGCGGUAAUACGUAGGGUGCAAGCGUUAAUCGGAAUUACUGGGCGUAAAGCGUGCGCAGGCGGUUUGCUAAGACCGAUGUGAAAAUCCCCGGGCUCAACCUGGGAACUGCAUUGGUGANUGGCAGGCUAGAGUAUGGCAGAGGGGGGUAGAAUUCCACGUGUAGCAGUGAAAUGCGUAGAGAUGUGGAGGAAUACCGAUGGCGAAGGCAGCCCCGGCCAAGUAACUGACGCUCAUGCACGAAAAGCGUGGGGAGCAAAACAGGAUUAGAUACCCUGGUAGUCCACGCCCUAAAACGAUGUCAACUAGUUGUUGGGGAUUCAUUUCCUUAGUAACGUAGCUAAACGCGUGAAAGUUGACCGCCUGGGGAGUACGGUCGCAAAGAUUAAAAACUC
rnacentral:rRNA from 1 species